ACGCCCGGGCGUGCGCGGGACACCAGGGAGAGCGCCUGGUUGACGGGUGCAGACGCACCCGGGGCUAGGCACAGGCUGAUGGGUGGGGUUCAGGGGGCAGCAGAUUGCCCCCCAGGGAGAACGUACGCUUGUGCGUGUGCAUGCGUGUGCGUGUGUGUCCCUGUGUGUGCUGCGUUUUGAUUUCGUUUGACUUCAGGGGAGAUCAUAUGUAGCCCACUGCUUGGAUUCCUGGGGUGGGGAACAGCCUGCCUUGCUUGCCCGGGGAGGGUGAAAAGCGCACAUCCAACUGGGUGGUCCUGCAAAGAGGGCGCUCUCCGGCUCUGUGGGGGCUUGUGGGGCUGGCAGAACCCUCUAAGGCCAGGGCCACCUGCGAAAGAUGAAAGACUGGAAAUUGGGGAGGGAAGAGGAGCUGGGGGGGGGCCUUUCCUUUCUGUUUUCUUCUGUGUCUCCCCUUCCUCUCUCCCUCCUUCAUGGUUUGCCUUAUUCUCGCUGGUGGGCGCAAGAAUUUAGCAGCCAUCAGCUAUGGGGCAGGGCUUGAGCCUGUGUGCCAUCUCUACCUGCUGUAAGCCCUUAUUUCAGAUUUCAAGAACCUCCAAGUUCCAUCUCCAUUUUUUUUUUUUUUUUCUGAAAGGGCAACGUCUGGGUGCACAGGAGUGAGGAUGAGGCGCUCCUCUUCCCCACCUCUGAGCAGCAGGGUUCCCACUAAGACCCUUUUGGAUUGGCACAAGAAUCCUUGGUCUCCCAGGCUGUUCCUGGACCCCUCCCUGGUCAUUUUCUCUCAGCCGCACAAAUAUGCACCAUGUUUGCAGUUCACCAAGUUCCCCAGCAUAGGGCCUCAUAAACAUGCACACUUAGUCCCACAAACAUAUGGGCACAGGUCCCUGAAGCCCACAGACAUUGCUGCUAUGCACACAGACCAAGUCCAUAAUGCAUCUCUAAGACCUCACCCAAGACCCACACAGCGUGCAGAUGCACACAGUACAAAAUAGCGCCCCUGCAUUCAGUCACACAGGCAUAGGUCCCCUGGGAGCUGCCCCUUCAAGGCUGCAGAUAGUUUGUGACUUACCCCCUGGGGCAAUUGUAGUGUUCUUCACCUACAGUGCUUAUGUUUUCUCCAAUGCCAGCAGGAGUCCUACUGUGUGCCUCAAUAGUACGCCUUUCCUUUGGGAUGUCCACCACUGUUGAGACCACAUCACCCAGUGAUGCCCAUCCAAGCCUGCCGAGUCAGCCAGGUGACUAUAAUCGAAAAGUAGAGCUCACUUUGGCUUCUGAAGGCAGGACAAUAUCCUAUGGGAUGUCUCUGUGGACAUCCCAUAGGAAACACACACAACCUAUCCCCCAACUGGACCCUGUGCACAGUAGUGAAGAAACAUGUGACCAGUGCUGACCACCAGAUUAGAAGAAAAAGGUGAACACCUGGAGCAAGGCCCCGGGACAGAAGAACUUAGCAAAAUGUUCUUUACUACUGAGCAUUGUUGGUAUCUUCAUGGACAAUGCAUUCUUCUUUUCAAGGUAUCACCAACCUCGUUAAGAAGCAGAAUCCUUCAAAAGACGGAUGAUACUGAGAUUCAUGGGAGAAUCAAAGAGAAAUGUUAUCCUGUGUCUCAUUUGCCAUUUGAGAAAAUGCAACCUGGUGUAAUCACUAAUGUAAUGAUAAAUAAUAAUAAUAUUAAUAAUAGUAAUUAAAUGUCUUUUCAGAUGUUACAAAACCCAAACACCUGAGAUCACCAAUUUAUAAAGAGGAAAGGUUUAUUUUC